GAAGCUCCAUUGGCCGGAGAAUAAUAGCGUAUCUCUAUCUGUUUGGGUUCUCCCUCCGAUAGCGGCCAAUAAAGAAACUCUGAUAGCAACCCAUCCUCUUUGUCCCAAAUCUCCCUCAUGUCGUUGCUUAGUGUAACAAAUUACCUGAACUAUCUAUUUUCAACAUUUUCAAGUGUUUGUAGAUCUACUUGAUCUGAAAAUUUCAAUUUUAUAAUUAGAAUUGAUUAUGGAUUUUCAAGCCAUCCCUUUUGACACCAC
rnacentral:lncRNA from 1 species